rnacentral:tRNA from 1 species
AGGGGUGUAGCUCAGUGGUAAGAGUGAAUGCUUGGCAAGCAUGAGGACCUGGGUUCAAUCCCCAGUACCUCCA